rnacentral:rRNA from 1 species
AUGUACAUUAACAGCAAACAAGUUAAAGUAUCAAUAAAUGGAAGUUUGGGUAUAGAGAAUUUGAUGCUUGUUGGGUGUAUACAGGAGUAUAAAUGGAUUUUCUUCUUGUUGAACGAAGUUGAACUUGUCAUUAUGCUUCACGGCUGGGGGUGGGAGGCGUGCGGCGGCCGGAGGUGGGAGGCCGUUCAAGUUUGCGUAUUUCGCUCGGCCAGCGCUCGACGAGGAGCACCCCGGUCUCGCUCGUGUGUGGGUUUUGGAGUAUAUUCUACCGAUGUGUUCUGCUCUCCUCUAUUUUCAACUGAAUCGUGCUGCCAUGUGUGGAUUUCCCCUCUAAUUCCACAACAAGUUGAAUCCCGCAAAUUCUACUGGUAA